rnacentral:misc_RNA from 1 species
AUUCUCUGAGUACAAAAGAGAAUGUGAUAGUUUAAUAUGGAAUGGUGGUCCUUCUGCAUCUCCAUGAUUUCACUAUUUAUUUUGGCUUACGCCAACAACAUAUUGGUGUCACAACCAUGGCUAUUCAUUGGCCCAGCUCCCUAUGGACAACCGAUAGUUUCAAAAGCUAAAUGUCUUUUUCUCUUGGUCCCCAGUUUGAAAACUGUGUUUCAUAACAUGGUCCUGUUCAUUGUUAUGUUUUGUUCUGUAGCACUUUUAAUUAUUGUUUACUUUGUGACCACCUCUGUUGAUGGAAG